rnacentral:rRNA from 1 species
UGGCUCAGGAUGAACGCUGGCGGCGUGCUUAACACAUGCAAGUCGAACGGAGUGGAACGCUGAAUUGAUGUCAGCUUGCUGAUGGAUUUUCUUGUUUCACUUAGUGGCGGACGGGUGAGUAACGCGUGAGUAACCUGCCUCUGAGUGGGGAAUAACGCCCUGAAAAGAGCGCUAAUACCGCAUAAAAUACAGGAGCCGCAUGACUCUUGUAUCAAAGAUUUAUCGCUGAGAGAUGGACUCGCGUCCGAUUAGCUUGUUGGUGGGGUAACGGCCCACCAAGGCGACGAUCGGUAGCCGGACUGAGAGGUUGAACGGCCACAUUGGGACUGAGACACGGCCCAGACUCCUACGGGAGGCAGCAGUGGGGAAUA